UGGCUCUCGCAACGAUGAAGAACGCAGCGAAAUGCGAUACGUAAUGUGAAUUGCAGAAUCCAGUGAAUCAUCAAAUCUUUGAACGCACAUUGCGCCCUUUGGUAUUCCGAAGGGCAUGUCUGUUUGAGAACCUUUACGUCCCUCCUCUUCUGAUCGCUCACUUACCUGAGUGUGUCGGAGAGGUAAUGAGCCAUCCAGCUCCUUGGGAGCUGGCGGCUUUAAAUUGAGCCUCAGGUGGUAGAAGAUGCCAAGCCAAAACGUGUUAAUGGAUUCCUUCCUGUUUACGUUGAUGAGCCUGGCGCCUUUUUUUUAAAAGCGUCGUUUUGCUGCCAACUGACAAUGGUCGCCAGGCGCUUGUGCCUAGCACUUGCGUAUGCCUGAACCCUGGUCUCAAAUCAGACAAGAUUACCCGCUGA
rnacentral:misc_RNA from 1 species